CACAUGCAAGUCGAACGAUGAACCUGGAGCUUGCUCUAGGGAAUUAGUGGCGAACGGGUGAGUAACACGUGAGUAACCUGCCCUUGACUCUGGGAUAACCUCCGGAAACGGAAGCUAAUACCGGAUAUGACGCACGGAGGCAUCUCCUGUGCGUGGAAAGAAUUUCGGUCAAGGAUGGACUCGCGGCCUAUCAGGUAGUUGGUGAGGUAACGGCCCACCAAGCCUACGACGGGUAGCCGGCCUGAGAGGGUGACCGGCCACACUGGGACUGAGACACGGCCCAGACUCCUACGGGAGGCAGCAGUGGGGAAUAUUGCACAAUGGGCGCAAGCCUGAUGCAGCAACGCCGCGUGAGGGACGACGGCCUUCGGGUUGUAAACCUCUUUUAGUAGGGAAGAAGCGAAAGUGACGGUACCUGCAGAAAAAGCACCGGCUAACUACGUGCCAGCAGCCGCGGUAAUACGUAGGGUGCGAGCGUUGUCCGGAAUUAUUGGGCGUAAAGAGCUCGUAGGCGGUCUGUCGCGUCUGCUGUGAAAACCCGAGGCUCAACCUCGGGCCUGCAGUGGGUACGGGCAGACUAGAGUGCGGUAGGGGAGAAUGGAAUUCCUGGUGUAGCGGUGGAAUGCGCAGAUAUCAGGAGGAACACCGAUGGCGAAGGCAGUUCUCUGGGCCGUAACUGACGCUGAGGAGCGAAAGCGUG
rnacentral:rRNA from 1 species